AAGUCGUAACAAGGCAAUCGAUCAGGGGCUUGCGAUUUUAUCCGAUAUGGAGGAGCAGAUGCAGGUGGCAGGGGAGGAGGUUCUCUCGGGCGAAAAUGUAUUUAAGCUGUAUGAUACAUACGGCUUUCCUGUGGAUCUUACCUGUGAGAUCUUGGAAGAAAAAGGGUUUGCUAUCGAUGAGGACGGCUUUAAC
rnacentral:misc_RNA from 1 species